rnacentral:rRNA from 1 species
CCUACGGGAGGCAGCAGUAGGGAAUCUUCCACAAUGGACGAAAGUCUGAUGGAGCAACGCCGCGUGAGUGAAGAAGGGUUUCGGAUCGUAAAACUCUGUUGUCAGAGAAGAACGUGUGCGAGAGUAACUGUUCGUGCAGUGACGGUAUCUGGCCAGAAAGCCACGGCUAACUACGUGCCAGCAGCCGCGGUAAU